AGGGUUAGUGUUCAUCACAAUUCGUUUGCUCUCUUCAGGGCUAUUUUUGUCCUCCAAGCCUUUUGGCUGUUCUUUUUCUUGUAGCUAUUAGAACUGGUUGUUGCCUCUUGCAAGGCUUAGCCGAAUGUUAGUGGAACAAUGACUGUUUUGCAGCAUUUACAAGAAGCAUUAAUGAGAUGUGAUGUUUAUAUCUAUCAGCCAGCUCAUUUUCUCUUGUUUAAUUACAUUUUUGUCCCUCAAAAUAUUCAUUGAAUGGACUAUAUAUUUUCAACUCAUGUCUAACAGUGUCAUUUUACAAUAGCUUUUACUUUUGGUGUUGGAAAUUGGAAAAUUGCUUCAUGUAUUCAUGUUCCGUAGCUAUUUGUAUAAGCCCACAACUUUUUGCUUUAUCCUACAACCUCCUGCUUCGUUUAUGCUUCCUUUAUUCAUGCUAUAAACUGUAAACCAUGGCUUCAACUGAUGCACUUGCACAUUCAACGAAUAAGAACAUUGUUCGCAACCGAAGAUUAAGAGAAAAAUAUGCUUCCUUAUCAGUGGACGAAAAAGAAGCUCGUAGAGCUAAACAAAGAGAAGCUUAUCAAAAGAGGAGAGGAAGGAAAGCUGCUGCAUCCAUGUCUUCUAUGAAUCAACAGCAAACUGAUGGUAUAGAACUUCCAGUUGGGUGUGACGUACAGCAAAACAAUGAGCACAAUAACCAACAGAGUAUUGCUGUUAAACAACUUCUGCAACAGAAUAGAAACAAAGAGACUAAUCUGCAACAAUCUAUUGCUGUCAAAAGUAAUUCUCUGUGCAAAACCAAUGGUAAAUCAAAAGGCAAGCUGAAAAAGCAUGAUUCUGUAUUUUUGACAUUUGAACAAGGUUCUUCAUCAAAAAAUUCGUCCAACUAUAAAUGCAGAAGAAUCAAUAAACUAAAUGUGUCAGGUGAUCCUCCUAUAUGCGAUAGCUGCUCUAAUUUCUUGCAUGAAACAGUUGAUAAUCUUGCAGGUAUAUCAAUGACAGUACAGCCUCAGCCAGUGGAAACCAAUGUUUCUAAUGUCAUAAAAAAUCAUCCAAAAGUGAAAAUGUAUAUAAAGAUGAGAACUUUGAUGAGACUCAGAGGCAACUACCUACAUUACAGGCCUCAAAGAUUCAAAGAUGCUUUUUUGUUGGAAGUUUUUGUUUUAAAGCCCACUUCUACAGACUGCUCGUCUCCUUCAUUAAUAUUUUAGCAUUCAUUUUAUCAGGUUAUAUAAAAUGCAUUUGAAGAAUAGGAAGCAUAAGUUCUUUUUGCUUUCAUAUGUGUUCAUUAUUUAUAACAAAUCUCUAUCUCCCCUCUCAGGUCUUUUGUUAUUUGAAUAAACUAAAUCACUCAUUGUUGUGAUUCCUUGCAGUUGACCUUCUAUUCAAUGUAUCAGAAGAUUCAGAUUAUGUCCGGACUAUUCUAGCUAAAGCUAUAGACAAAUGUCCUGACCUCAAAACUAAGGCUGCUGAGUCAAAUAAAGCAGCAAAGAUAGAUGCAAGAUCAAGUCAUUAUUGAAAGGAUGCUUGAUAAAACUAGGUCACCAGGACUACAAAUUGGACUAAGUUUAGCGCAACAGCAGUACAGGUUAUUAACAGAGACCAUCUACAGCAAGGAAAAUCACUUAUAGGUCCUUGUCACACAGUGGAGCUGGUGGUGGUGGCAGCUCAUAUUCAGAAAUAUAAGCAUUGUCUGCUAUGAGGAAGGCAUGAAUUAGUUCCUCUAUCAUAGUCUAACAAACACUAACGCUGAAGUAUUUGUCUUAUUGCAUUAUGUAAAAAAGAACCUAUUUUUAUCUUUCGACUUUUCUGUCUUUUUUUAAAAAUUGUCUCCUACACGUUAUUCAGCAUAGUACCUACCUUAGCAGUAUUGGAAACUCCUAAUGAAGAUAUUUUUCAUGAUAUAAAAAAUGUCAUGUAAAA